CCUUACAGCAGAAUACUAAGGACUGCCUUUGGCUUUAAUUCAAAUACUCACUUGUCUCCUUUCUUGCUUUCAAACUUGACCUCAUUUAUCAGGCUGAGGAUCCAUGUUUUUGUCACAUUAUUGUCCUGCUAAAGCAAAUUUGAUGACAAAAAUUCCAAGAGGACAGAAACUCUACACCUCCCUUACAUAGAAGAAUAGAUUAAGAGACAGCUCCCUAUCAGGUUAAGAGGGGGGAAACUCUCACUAACCCAUAAUGUUUUUUGGUGUCUCCUGUAAUUGCACAAAUGAAAAUUCUGAAUGCUGACUGCAGUGGGAGCGCAUUGGUGACUUUCAGAUACCCAGCUCCCCAGAGACAGCCUGUUGUGGCUUGGCAGACCUCCCACCUACUGACGUCAGC
rnacentral:lncRNA from 1 species